rnacentral:rRNA from 1 species
GGGUGAGUAACACGUAUCCAACCUGCCGAUGACUCGGGGAUAGCCUUUCGAGAGAAAGAUUAAUACCCGAUGGCAUAGUUCUUCCGCAUGGUAGAACUAUUAAAGAAUUUCGGUCAUCGAUGGGGAUGCGUUCCAUUAGCUUGUUGGCGGGGUAACGGCCCACCAAGGCAUCGAUGGAUAGGGGUUCUGAGAGGAAGGUCCCCCACAUUGGAACUGAGACACGGUCCAAACUCCUACGGGAGGCAGCAGUGAGGAAUAUUGGUCAAUGGGCGCUAGCCUGAACCAGCCAAGUAGCGUGAAGGAUGACUGCCCUAUGGGUUGUAAACUUCUUUUAUAUGGGAAUAAAGUGCAGUAUGUAUACUGCUUUGCAUGUACCUUAUGAAUAAGGAUCGGCUAACUCCGUGCCAGCAGCCGCGGUAAUACGGAGGAUCCGAGCGUUAUCCGGAUUUAUUGGGUUUAAAGGGAGCGUAGGCGGGUUGUUAAGUCAGUUGUGAAAGUUUGCGGCUCAACCGUAAAAUUGCAGUUGAUACUGGCAUCCUUGAGUACAGUAGAGGUAGGCGGAAUUCGUGGUGUAGCGGUGGAAUGCUUAGAUAUCACGAAGAACUCCGAUUGCGAAGGCAGCCUGCUGGACUGUAACUGACGCUGAUGCUCGAAAGUGUGGGUAUCAAACAGGAUUAGAUACCCUGGUAGUCCACACAGUAAACGAU